UCGCUGGGUAUUAGGCAAUAGCUCUG
rnacentral:piRNA from 1 species